GAUGAACGCUGGCGGCGUGCCUAAUACAUGCAAGUCGAGCGCAGCGGGGGCAGGGGAGUACCACGGGGAAAACCUCCUUUAACACUCGGAUACCUUCGGGUAACCCGAGCUAAACCUGCUAUUUAUAGAUCGAUCCCCGCUGCAUUAGCUAGUUGGUAAGGUAACGGCUUACAAAGGCAACGAUGCAUCGCCGACCGUUGAGGGUGAUCGGCCACACUGGAACUGAGACACGGUCCAGAGUCCUACGGGAGGCAGCAGUAGGGAAUCGUCCGCAAUGGGCGAAAGCCUGACGGAGCAACGCCGCGUGAGUGAUGAAGGUUUUCGGAUCGUAAAACUCUGUUAUUAGAGAAGCGGUACCUAAUCAGAAAGCCACGGCUAACUACGUGCCAGCAGCCGCGGUAAUAC
rnacentral:rRNA from 1 species